AAGUCCUGGGAUUACAGGCAUGAGCCACCAUGCCAGGCCCAAAGGUUUUUUAGAUCCAAGCAAUUUGUUUAAUAAUUUCAUGUAAUCAACAGCUAAUUUCUUAAAGAUUCAUUUCUGAUUUCAUAUUUUUUUACAAAGAAGAUGUGUGAACUUUGUACUCAAGAUCCUGAUUCUGGCCCUAAUUGGAACAAAAUUAAUACUUGUGCCUUGCUUUAGGGAAUACAUUCUACCUUUUGACCCAUAACCUUUAUAGUUCUGUCAGGUCUCAGUGAGGUCAGGGUGACACGAUCUGUACCACUGACCCACUCUGUGACCUCUCUGAAUUCCAAGUUCCUUCUUGAAGGCAAACUCUCAGAUGGUCUCAGUAAUCCCUGCCUCCAGUAAUCAUACUCUGUGUAAUUUCCUCCCUUUGAGUGGGGCUGGGACUUCUGACUUGCUUCUCUAACUCACAGAUUGCAGCAAAAGUCACUUCUGUGAUUCCAUGGGAUUGCAGCUUCCAUCUUGCUAGCAGAAUCUCUCUAUUCCCUUCUCAGCAGGUGCACUUGGAUGGUGCACAUAGUCAUGUUGGAGACACCCACAUGGCAAGCAAUCAAGACUGAGGGCAGACUCUCCUGAACAGCCAGCUAGAAACUUCAGCCCUCAGUCCAACAGCCUGCAAGAAAUAAAGGCUUGCCAAUAGCCAUGUGAGCUUCAAAGUCCUAUCCUUCCCCAGUGGAGCCUUCAGAUGAGGCCCUAGCCCUCACCAGUGCCUUGAUUGAAGUCUCGCAAGAAACCCUGAACAAAGGACCAACAAGUUGUGCCCAGACACCUGACUCACACCUAAUAAACGUGUGAUGUUUUAAGCUGCUUUUGCGGCAAUUUGUUACAUAGCAAUAGAUAACUAAUGCAUUUUUAUAGGUAAAAUGAGAAUAAUUCACCUAUAAGGAAAAACAAGGUUAAUAAUACUAUCUACCUCACAUAGCUUUGUGAGGACUACACAUAUGCUUAUUUGUGUUGUUGAUGCUUUUGGUGAUGUUGAUUAUGUCACAUAGUAAAUCAUUCCAAGCUUUAAGAGCAAUUAUCAGAAGUCCCUGCUUUGGGGAAGCUUGUAUUCUAGCAGAGAAAACAGACAAGUAAAUGAAUAGAUAAAUAUAUGUAAGGUGGUAGAAAGUGUUAUGAAGACAAAUAAGGUAGCAUACAAAAGACAGAGGUAGCAUACAGAUAAGGUAGCAUACAAAAGAUACAAGGGAUGAAAUUUUAGUUAAAUAUUGUUGGUGUCGUUAGGUAUAUCAGACAGGAUAGGCCAGCUUCUGUUUGGUAACAAUCCCAAAAUACUGGGGGCUUAAUACAACCAAAGUUUAUUUUUUACUCACAUAGCAUUGGUGGGUGAGGGAAUUCUGCUCAUCUUACUCAGACACUCAGGUUGGUAGAAGCUUCAUCCUAAAACUGCUGCUGUAGGGACAGAAAUGUGACAAACAUGGGCUGCUCUUAAAGUUUCCCCCAUAAUAUUUCUGCUCAUAUUUCAGUGUCCAAAUCAAAUCACAUGGCAACAGCUUACUUCAACGGGGCAGAGAAGGUCAUGUGCCUGGAAGGAGGAAAACCCGACGAUUGGUGACAGCAUGACUGAGGGUGCAUUGAGUACAGCACUUGUCAUGGUCUCACACUCCUGCCUUGCUCUGAGCCCUAAUAAAGUGCUCUUCCCUUUGUCUCUUUUUUGUAGACCUACCAUAGGCAAGCUUCUUUCACUAGCUUCCCUUUCCACUCAGUCAGUGCUUUCUAAAAACAUAUCUUUACAACUGAUCUAUAUCAGAAGUCAGCUAGCCACAGCCCAUGGGCAAAGUCCCACCUGGCAUCCAUUUUGUGUAAAGUUCCAUCAGACAGAGUCAUGCCUACUCACUCACAUAUUGUCUGUGGCUGCUUUUGUACUCAACAACUGUACUGAGGAGUUGUGACGGAGACAAAGGGACCACAAAGCUGAAAAUAUUUACUACCUGGCAAUUUACAAAAUUUCAGAAUUGCCUGGGUGGAACGAUUGCUUUCCUGUGCCAGGUACUUUGUAGGGGGCUGUACCUACAGUCUCAUUCAAUCAGCCUUACAAUGAUAAGAGGUUUAUCCAGGAAGAGACCAACCAAGUCCCAGACGAGCUCUGCCCACAUCAAGCGAGCUUCUGGAACGUGGCGGAAUGCUGCAGGUGGACUGCAGUGGUUCUGUGGUAUGUUGGCCAACUCCUGCCCUCAGUUCAGGGUGCGCAUUCCUCAGACGCCAGGGGUAGCCUGCAUCCAGUGACUGCAUCCAGUGAUGCUAGGAUACAAAGACCCAGUCCCAAAACUUUAAUUCAAGGCAUCUCUGAAAUGCCACCCAAGCUUCAAAGCUCUCCGUGAGAUCAGCUGAGGCCUCAGUUGCAUCCCUAUUGCACUUUAAUUUCUCCUGCGGCAUCCUGCUCCCUCCCUCCCACACAGGGGCUGUUCCUCAGAGCCAUUCCCAGUCACCACCUGCAUGCACAUCUCCAUCUCAGAGUCUGUUUCCUGGGAAUCCUGACCCAGGGCAAUGUCUGAAGCCCAGACUCUGGAGACAUGGGGCUAUGAAGGAGCAUGAGGGUGAAAGUUCAGGCUCAGACCUGAGAUACAUUCUCUCUACCAUAGGACCCAAUGCAUAAAGCUGAUAGCUGGAUGUCUAACUGACUCUACUUUGCAGUUUUCAGCCAUUCAGAAGGGAAAUGCACCUUAAAAAUCCCAGCACUCCCGAUUCCCUCAUUUACUAGUUGUGCAAUCUUAACGAAGCUACUUGACUUUUCUGAGCUUCUCAUCUAAAACAAUGAAAUAACAAUCAUUAACCACCCAUUCAGUUGUAAUUAUUAAACGGUCUAAUCAGUGUCAGUUACUUAGCACAGUGCCUGGCAUAUUGCUAAAGUCCCUGAAGUGUCAAUCCAUUAUCCUCGGGUGGGCAACAGAUGGAACAUCCCUUAUUUUUACAUGCUGAGUAUGUCUGAAUUUAAUUUCUAUCUCAAGCUCUCCUCACGUCUUCUUAGAAGAAUGUUCAACAUUGAUAACUGAAGGUCAACUCCGUUCUCUGGGUCAAUUCAGCCAACCAGGGGUUAAUUGCCUCCUACCUCAUGCUCAGGGUGGCAUCCGGUUGCCAUCGGCCUUAGAUAGCAUCUAGGUGUGAGAGGGAUCGUCUGUGGCUCAGGUGUCAUCACGAGCCAGUCUCCACUGGGACACAUGAUGCCUGUCUGGGUCUUGGCCAGCGUCACCUUGAGGCGUCUGCCUUCUCUCUGGUUUCUGAUGGUUUUGUCAGAGGAGUUUGAAGCAGAGCACCUCCAUCUUGAAUAGAAGCUGGGUAAAAUAAGGAUGAGACCUACUGGGCUGCAUUCCCCGGAGGUUAAGCCAUUCUUAGUCACAGGAUGACAUAGGAGGUCAGCAGAAGAUAUAGGUCAUAACAACCUUGCUGAUAAAAGAGGUUGCAGUAAAGAAGCUGGCCAAA
rnacentral:lncRNA from 1 species